GGAUUUCCUUUCUUUGUAAUCUUUCCAUAUUAUGUAUUAGUAGUCUUUCCUAAUCCUAGGUGGUUUAGGUUUUGGAUACUUUCAUUUUUAUUUAUCUUGUAAUCCUCUAUAUAAAGUGAACACUUAUUCAUUAAUGAAAUACAGAAACAUUCAUCUCUAAAACCUAUUGUUUCACAACAUCUAUCAAUUGAUUUUUGUUUUCAACAGCCAUUUUUAAAAGGGAAUUGGGCUCAAUAACACAAAAAAAA
rnacentral:lncRNA from 1 species